rnacentral:rRNA from 1 species
UUUUAUGGAGAGUUUGAUCCUGGCUCAGGAUGAACGCUGGCGGCGUGCCUAAUACAUGCAAGUCGAGCGAACAGACGAGGAGCUUGCUCCUCUGACGUUAGCGGCGGACGGGUGAGUAACACGUGGAUAACCUACCUAUAAGACUGGGAUAACUUCGGGAAACCGGAGCUAAUACCGGAUAAUAUAUUGAACCGCAUGGUUCAAUAGUGAAAGACGGUUUUGCUGUCACUUAUAGAUGGAUCCGCGCCGCAUUAGCUAGUUGGUAAGGUAACGGCUUACCAAGGCAACGAUGCGUAGCCGACCUGAGAGGGUGAUCGGCCACACUGGAACUGAGACACGGUCCAGACUCCUACGGGAGGCAGCAGUAGGGAAUCUUCCGCAAUGGGCGAAAGCCUGACGGAGCAACGCCGCGUGAGGGAUGAAGGGCUUCGGAUCGUAAAACUCUGU